UACGUAGGGGGCGAGCGUUGUCCGGAUUUACUGGGCGUAAAACGCUUGUAGGCGGCCACGCCAAGUCGGACGUGAAAUCUCCCGGCUUAACUGGGAGGGGUCGUUCGAUACUGGCGGGCUCGAGGCAGGUAGGGGGAAGCGGAAUUCCCGGUGUAGUGGUGGAAUGCGUAGAUAUCGGGAGGAACACCAGUGGCGAAGGCGGCUUCCUGGACCUGUUCUGACGCUGAGGAGCGAAAGCGUGGGGAGCGAUCCGG
rnacentral:rRNA from 1 species